rnacentral:rRNA from 1 species
UCCCAGACUCCUACGGGAGGCAGCAGUGGGGGAUAUUGCACAAUGGGGGAAACCCUGAUGCAGCGACGCCGCGUGAGUGAAGAAGUACUUCGUUACGUAAAGCUCUAUCAGCAGGGAAGAAAAUGACGGUACCUGACUAAGAAGCCCCGGCUAACUACGUGCCAGCAGCCGCGGUAAUACGUAGGGGGCGAGCGUUAUCCGGAUUCACUGGGUGUAAAGGGAGCGUAGACGGCCAAGCAAGCCAGGGGUGAAAGCCCGGGGCCCAACCCCGGGACUGCUCUGGAAACUGUACGGCUGGAGUGCAGGAGAGGUAAGUGGAAUUCCUAGUGUAGCGGUGAAAUGCGUAGAUAUUAGGAGGAACACCAGUGGCGAAGGCGGCUUACUGGACUGUAACUGACGUUGAGGCUCGAAAGCGUGGGGAGCAAACAGGAUUAGAUACCCCAGUAAUA